UACGGAGGGUGUUAGCGUUGUUCGGAAUUACUGGGCGUAAAGCGUACGUAGGCGGUUAUUCAAGUCAGAGGUGAAAGCCCGGGGCUCAACCCCGGAACGGCCUUUGAAACUAGGUAGCUAGAGUCUUGGAGAGGUUAGUGGAAUUCCGAGUGUAGAGGUGAAAUUCGUAGAUAUUCGGAAGAACACCAGUGGCGAAGGCGACUAACUGGACAAGUACUGACGCUGAGGUACGAAAGCGUGGGGAGCAAACAGG
rnacentral:rRNA from 1 species